GAUGAACGCUGGCGGCGUGCCUAAUACAUGCGAGUCGAGCGAACGGACGAGAAGCUUGCUUCUCUGAUGUUAGCGGCGGACGGGUGAGUAACACGUGGAUAACCUACCUAUAAGACUGGGAUAACUUCGGGAAACCGGAGCUAAUACCGGAUAAUAUUUUGAACCGCAUGGUUCAAAAGUGAAAGACGGUUCUGCUGUCUCUUAUAGAUGGAUCCGCGCUGCAUUAGCUAGUUGGUAAGGUAACGGCUUACCAAGGCAACGAUGCAUAGCCGACCUGAGAGGGUGAUCGGCCACACUGGAACUGAGACACGGUCCAGACUCCUACGGGAGGCAGCAGUAGGGAAUCUUCCGCAAUGGGCGAAAGCCUGACGGAGCAACGCCGCGUGAGUGAUGAAGGUCUUCGGAUCGUAAAACUCUGUUAUUAGGGAAGAACAUAUGUGUAAGUAACUGUGCACAUCUUGACGGUACCUAAUCAGAAAGCCACGGCUAACUACGUG
rnacentral:rRNA from 1 species